UACAGAGGGUGCAAGCGUUGUUCGGAAUUAUUGGGCGUAAAGGGAGUGUAGGCGGCUUGUUAAGUCUUCUGUGAAAUCCCCGGGCUCAACCCGGGAACUGCGUCCGAUACUGGGAGGCUUGAAUCCGGGAGAGGGAUGUGGAAUUCCAGGUGUAGCGGUGAAAUGCGUAGAUAUCUGGAGGAACACCGGUGGCGAAGGCGGCAUCCUGGACCGGUAUUGACGCUGAGGCGCGAAAGCCAGGGGAGCAAACGGG
rnacentral:rRNA from 1 species